GAGUCGGUAGUGCAAUGGUUCAGCACGCGCUCCCGGAAGAGUGAAAUCUGGGUUCGAGUCCCAGCUGACGCA